CCUGUUCUUGCUCUGCAGCAUUGUGAUAACAGCUGUUUACUGUCAGCUACCACAGAGCUGACUUGCAAUUCAGAAGGACUGGUGUAGUCCAGCUGCUUUUCAGUUGAUAAAAAUUACAGUCCUCCACCUAAACCAUACCAUUUCAAACCAAUGGAAUUCUAAUCUAAGAGCUGCUACUUUGAAAACACUUCAAAUUCUUCAAGAUAAAAUGCUGUCAUUAGCUGUUAGCUGCAAACACCGUGAAAUUCACGCUGAAACUUCCAGGGAGUGUCUUCAGCAAAGGGUGGCCAGGACGAACAGGCCUAUAAGAAGGGAAGUAGCAGCUGAAGCUAAUUUCCUUAGAAAACGAAGGAAGGAAGAUAUCAGAUAGAACUUGGGCAAUAAACCUGACUUCAAGAUGUCAGAGGAAGAUGAUUCAUAUCUGAAUGUAAAAAGAUCUCUGAAAAGGAGAAUGGUGAAACACAGCACCCCAGUGGACUCAAUGCUUUCAAGAGCAACUCCAUCUCUUAUAGAUCUGACAAAUCAGUCAAUCAAGGACCAAGAUGCCACAAAGCGAGUUUAUGGAUCUCCAAUGCCAAAAUCAGAUCUAAGCAGAUCAUUAUCUCAAGUGUCAUCAGUGCGUGUUGAUGCGUACAUCCCUCACGUGUCCCCAAAAAGACUUUCAACAGCAUUUGAUUUGCAAGAAUUAAAUAAAGAGAAAACUCAAAGCUCUCAGCUUGUAUUUUCUAGAAGGAGGCUUUCUACUGUGUUGGCCUCUGAUGAAUCAAGUCAAGAGCCAGCUCAUAAGGUUGUCCCAGAUACAGAAACUCAAGCUACCACCAGAGCAUCUGUGGAUGCUGCAGCAACUCCCAAGAGUGGACCUUCAUGGCUUGUUUCUGGCAUACCAGGGAUAAAAGAUCCUCUGCCAGCAAAAUCCAGAAAGAAGAAAAUUGAUAAAACUCUUCAGAGAAAGAAAGAAAGAGAAUGGCUGCUUCGUCAACUUAAAAAUAUUGAGGAGGCAACUAAACAUGAACUGACAAUUGAAGAAAUUUGA
rnacentral:lncRNA from 1 species